rnacentral:rRNA from 1 species
CGGGGUGCAGCAGGCGCGAAAACUUUACAAUGCUGGAAACAGCGAUAAGGGGACCUCGAGUGCCAGGUUACAAAUCUGGCUGUCGUGAUGCCUAAAAAGCAUUGCAUAGCAAGGGCCGGGCAAGACCGGUGCCAGCCGCCGCGGUAACACCGGCGGCUCGAGUGGUAACCGUUAUUAUUGGGUCUAAAGGGUCUGUAGCCGGCCGGAUAAGUCUCUUGGGAAAUCCAGCAGCUCAACUGUUGGGCUUUCAGGAGAUACUGUCUGGCUCGAGGCCGGGAGAGGUGAGAGGUACUUCAGGGGUAGGGGUGAAAUCUUGUAAUCCUUGAAGGACCACCAGUGGCGAAGGCGUCUCACCAGAACGGACCUGACGGCAAGGGACGAAAGCUAGGGGCACGAACCGGAUUAGAUACCCGGGUAGUCCUAGCCGUAAACGAUACUCGCUAGGUGUCGGCCACGGUGCGACCGUUGUCGGUGCCGUAGGGAAGCCGUGAAGCGAGCCACCUGGGAAGUACGGCCGCAAGGCUGAAACUUAAAGGAAUUGGCGGGGAG